GACGAACGCUGGCGGCGUGCUUAACACAUGCAAGUCGAACGGUAAGGCCCUUCGGGGUACACGAGUGGCGAACGGGUGAGUAACACGUGGGUGAUCUGCCCUGCACUUCGGGAUAAGCCUGGGAAACUGGGUCUAAUACCGGAUAGGACCAUGGGAUGCAUGUCCGGGGGGGGAGAGGUUUUGCGGUGUGGGAGGGGCCUGCGGCCUAUCAGUUGGGUGGUGGGGGGAUGGCCUACCAAGGCGACGACGGGUAGCCGGCCGGAGAGGGUGACCGGCCACACUGGGACUGAGAUACGGCCCAGACUCCUACGGGAGGCAGCAGUGGGGAAUAUUGCACAAUGGGCGCAAGCCUGAUGCAGCGACGCCGCGUGAGGGAUGACGGCCUUCGGGUUGUAAACCUCUUUCAGCACCGACGAAGCGCAAGUGACGGUAGGUGCAGAAGAAGGACCGGCCAACUACGUGCCAGCAGCCGCCGUAA
rnacentral:rRNA from 1 species